UCAGCUACUCAGCACAUGGUGGGCGGGACCUUGAGGGCCAUAAUAGAGGAAGAGAAGGCUUUCUUUGUUCUCAGUUGGAGCCAGGCUGUGCUUGCAACAGGUUGUUGGCUAGGCAAAUGGCUGCAAUCAGGACUGCAAUCCUGGGAAGUUAAGACUUCAGGGGCCUGAAGUCUCUACCAUGGAUUUGGUUCAAUUUUUCCUGGAUAUCUUGGAGGACUCCAUUAUGGGGCAUUUCUGAGCACUUCCUUUAAAAGGAAUUAGGUACAGAUGGGCAGCGGAUUUUCAGCAAAUUCCUUCCCAAAGUUACAGAAGAGUGUACACAAGUUCUUGGGCUCAAAAUAAAUCUUAAGUGUAUUUCUUUUUCCGAGUGGCCCUCAUUCUGGAUUAUGAUUAACUUGAUCUGUUUUGUGACAAUGCUUUUAAGAUACACCUUUAAGAGUUUCUUUUAAUUUUUAAUCUAGUUAGAGAUAAUAGUGUUUCCAUAUAUUUUCUCAAUACUACAGUUCCCUCUAAUCCAUUUUGAAUUAUCUAUUUGAUUUUUGUAGCCUAGAAUAUGAACUGGAUAUACAAAUAGAAUCUAAACCAAUGAGGCCCAGGUUUAAUCUGAAUUCAUAAUGUUUGUUUUAUAUUUUCUAGUUGGUAUUUCCUAUUCUUUGCUUUUAUUCUGUGGAUGGUCAGGCAAAACAGUUUGGUACCAACGUAAUGGCUGUAUUUCAUGUAUGAAAGUUGAAAGUUUAGAAAUGUGAUUUUUCUCUUUCUUUCUCUCAUUUGUAGCUAAUAAUUUUUAUAUAUAUAUAUUUUUAAAGAAGAACCAUGAUUAAUCCUUCUGGAGCAGGGGGGAUGCUCAGUUUACAAGAGCAUAUGUAUGACUAGAUAUUAACAUAGAGAUACGAAUGAGUAUAUAAUAUGUCACCACCAUUUUG